rnacentral:lncRNA from 1 species
GAUGAGAGGCCUCGUUGUUGUUUGAUUGAGUCAUCUAGCGGAGUUUAGAUGACGACCACUGGCUAUUCUAGACAGUCUUGUGGAAACAUUAGCAGGUUCGCCACCUGUAGGUGUUAAUGAACUUGGGUGUUCAUUCGCUGUACUCCAUCCCCCUCAUGGUUGCCUUAUUUGACUUAUAUUGCUGAGGUACCCCCGAAGCAUGUGUUGUCGCCCCGAUGAAAUAUUCUUAGACUAGGUCCCUUAUGUUAGUUGUUUUAGGGACAUUAAAGUGAGAAUAACGGGAAUGGGUAAUUGGGUUAUUGUUGGUUGGUGAAAAUUAAAUAUGAUAUUUAUUGUGGGUUGAAAACCCUAUAUGCUCACCAGGCUCCCAAGCCUGACCCACUCAGUUUUAAAUUGUAUUACAGGUAGUGGCGGAAGGGCAUGAGAUGGAUGAACCAUCAAGUUGUUUUGUUUACAAGUCUGCAUAUGUUUAUAUUUGUUAUAUGACUUGUAAUGUAUUCGUUUAUGCUUAUUGGUCUGUAUCGGAACAUGACACCCCGAGUUUUGAUUAUAAUGAAAAUACAUUUCUUUUAUGAAAUGCUUCGGUAAACAAUGUUUUAUCAUGUUUUGUUUUUGGGAACAAAUUCCGCAACUCUUUCAAAUCAAAAGGAUUUACUCUGAAAAUAUUUAAAAGCAUAAAUGAAAAUCGGUCUUUUCUGGCCGAGAUUUUGGGGAUGUCACAGUUGGUAUCAGAGCAUUAGUUUAAGCGAACUAGGAAUUUGUAGGAUUUCUAGACUUAAACUUAGAAUGCUAAGUGAAGUUUUGAGAUGUGUGUCUGUUGUGAUUUAGACACGAGCACUAGUUUAUUUUAGGAAAGUUGCCUAAAAUGCUUUAUGUGCUAAAUGUUAUAUGUUGCCAUAUAUGAUAUUAUUUGUUCGGAUCUAUGGUCUGUUGCCGACCGGAUCUAGAAACCUUAUGUGUGUAGGAUUCUAAGCGUACGUCUACGAUAUUAGAACUAGCAUGUAAACGUUUCGGAGUGAUAAGGAUGAUUUGAAUAUCUAUCAUGAUUGAGGAUCUAAUUUCACCUUAUUCGGUGUAGAUCAAAAUGGUGAGAACAAGAAGUGGAGUUGGAAAUGCUGACGAAAACAGGAAUCAACCACCAGUGAUUGAGCCAAUACCUGUCGUAGCAGCAGCACCUGAGCCAAUAACCAUGGCUGGUGUGCAAUUGAUGAUUCAGACGAUGUUGGAUCGUCAGAUGGAUGAAACUAGACGGUUGCUUCAACAAAAUCGUGAAGAACUGUCGAUUCGUGUGGAAGAGCCUGAACUGAAUGAAGGGCACUCGGAAGGUGGAAACUUCAGUGGGUCUGUUGGUCCAGCCAACCCACCGAUAGUUAGGCAAGAUAACCAUGAUGGAAGGAAUGAUGGAAUGGGAUGCAAGUACAAGGACUUUUUGACUUGUAAACCAUCGACCUUCAAUGGAAAGGAGGAUCCGAUUGGGGUUAUGGAUUGGAUCUCCGAAAUGGAGUUAGCCUUUAUGACAUGUGGCUGUAGAGGCAAGUUGCAGACUAUCUAUGCCGUGCGACAAUUCCGAGGUGGAGCCGUUCGUUGGUGGAACACUCUAGGGAAGACCUUAAGCCCUAAUGAGCCACUGCAAUUGUCAUGGGCAGAGUUCUUGGUGCAGUUCAAGCGCAAGUUCUGCUCGGCUCAAAAUCUGUUGGAGUUGGAGAACAAGUUUUUGACAUUGACGAAGGGUAGCAUGUCAGUGGAUGAGUACACCAAUAACUUCACCGAUAAGAUGGAGUUUGCCUUGCGUAUCGUUCCAGACGAGCUGACAAAGGUGGAUCGGUAUGCGAAGGGACUUCCAUGGGAGUACGAGGUGCCGGUACGUCAGGCACUUACUCUAGAGGCAGCUAUCUGGGCUGCCAAGUCUGUGGAGAACAUGAUCAAGGGGAGAACCACCGUCAAGGUUGAGGUUGGUGAGAAAAGGAAGUUUGAAGGAACAUCUGGUUCCAGUAAGAAGAGCAAAUUUUCGAAAUCUGAUUCGAAAAAGUUUGGAGGAAAAGGAGGCGAAGCAAAGUGGUGUGAUAAGUGUAAGAAAAAGCACUUUGGGAAAUGUAGCGAGGAUGUGACCUGCUACAAGUGUGGAAAGGUUGGACAUUUUGCCAAUGAAUGUCCGAACAACAAAAGGAUGUGUUUUGGGUGUAAUGAAGAGGGGCAUAUUUUGAAAGACUGUCCGAAGAAGAAGGAGGCAGCUAGGCCCAACAUUCCACCAAAGCCGAAGGCGAGAGCCUUCCAGAUGACACUUGAGGCUGCGAAAGAUGAAGCUGAUGUCGCUUCAGGUACCUUUCUCGUAAACGAAUUACCUGCUCAUAUAUUGUUUGAUUCUGGAGCCAACUACUCCUUUAUUUCGCAUGAGUUUGGUAGAAAGCUAGCUUUGCCUGUUGAUAGACUAGAUAAUGCUUUAUUAGUCGAAGUAGCUAGUGGCAAGUUUGUACCUGUUAGCCAUCGUAUGAAAAACGUCUUGAUCGACCUUAAUGGGAAUAAGUUUCUCGAGGAAUUAUUGCCUAUCGAACUAAAUGGUUUCGACAUCGUCUUGGGAAUGGAUUGGCUUAGCGCCAAUGAUGCCGAAAUUUUGUGCAAGAAGAAGAUAGUUAAAGUAAACCCGCCUGGGAAAGAUUCGUUUAUGGUGUAUGGGGACAAACGCAGAGUGAAUUCUGGAAUCAUUUCUCUAAUGAAAGCCAGAAAGUGUUUGACCAAGGGAUGUACAUCAUAUUUAGCAUUCGUGAUUGAUGCUAAGAAAGAAAAGAAGGUGAUGCAGAGCAUUCCAGUGGUGUGUGAUUAUCCGGAAGUAUUUCCCGAGGAUCUUCCUGGAUUACCACCUGAUAGACAAGUGGAGUUCAGAAUAGACUUGUUACCAGGAACCACGCCAAUAGCAAAAGCACCUUAUCGAUUAGCACCGACGGAGAUGAAGGAGCUGAUGAUGCAACUUCAGGAGUUAUUGGACAAAGGUUUCAUUAGACCUAGUUCAUCGCCCUGGGGAGCUCCGGUGUUAUUUGUAAAGAAGAAAGAUGGAAGUAUGAGAAUGUGCAUCGAUUACAGAGAGCUGAACAAGGCAACAAUAAAGAAUAGAUAUCCGUUGCCGAGGAUUGAUGACCUGUUUGAUCAAUUGCAAGGUUCGAGCUAUUUCUCGAAGAUCGAUCUUAGGUCAGGAUAUCAUCAGCUGAAAGUAAGAGAGCAAGAUAUCGAGAAGACUGCAUUCAGAACUAGAUAUGGACACUACGAGUUCUUGGUUAUGUCGUUUGGACUAACCAAUGCUCCAGCAGCGUUCAUGGAUUUGAUGAAUAGGGUUUGUAAUCCUUUCCUUGAUAAAUCCGUGAUAGUGUUCAUAGACGACAUUCUGAUCUACUCGAAAAGCCAGGAGGAGCAUGGCAGACACUUGCGAGAAGUGUUAGAAGUUUUGAAGAAGGAGAAGCUUUAUGCGAAGUUCUCCAAAUGUGAUUUUUGGAUUCGUGAGGUCCAAUUCUUGGGUCACGUGGUCAACCAAGAAGGGAUAAUGGUUGAUCCAGCGAAGAUCGAAGCUGUGACGAAGUGGGAACAACCGAAAAGUCCCACGGAGAUUCGAAGCUUUUUAGGAUUAGCCGGAUAUUACCGAAGGUUUAUCCAAGGCUUUUCUUCGAUUGCUACUCCAUUAACAGCUUUGACCCACAAAGGAGCUACUUAUGCUUGGAGUGAGAAGCAUAAAGAAGCAUUCGAGAAGUUAAAGAAGAAGCUAUGCGAGGCACCGAUACUUUCUCUACCCGAUGGAGUUGAAGACUUCGCUGUUUAUAGCGAUGCGUCUGGUGUUGGAUUGGGUUGUGUUUUGACCCAAAGAGAAAAGGUGAUAGCAUAUGCGUCUCGACAGCUGAAAGAGCAUGAAAAGAAUUACCCGACUCAUGAUUUGGAGUUGGCAGCGGUAGUUUUCGCUCUGAAAAUAUGGAGGCAUUACCUCUAUGGCACGAAGUGCAAACUUUUCACUGAUCAUAAGAGUCUCCAAUACCUCUUUAAUCAGAAAGAAUUGAAUAUGAGGCAACGACGCUGGCUAGAAUUACUUAAAGACUACGACUGCGAGAUACUUUACCACCCCGGUAAAGCUAAUGUUGUUGCUGAUGCUCUCAGUCGGAAAGUCAAUCUUGAAAGGAAGAGGCCAAGAGCGUUGAGAAUUGAAGUUGUCUCGACUAUUGUGGAAAGUAUAAAGAAAGCUCAAGAGGAAGCUUCUGAGAAAAAUGACCGAAAGGAGGAACGUUUGGGUAAAACGUUGGUGUUUGGUACUAACGGUCAUGGACUGAAGGUAUUCCAAGAUCGUAUUUGGGUACCUAAGUCAGGAGGAAUUAGGGAUCUUCUGAUGGAAGAAGCUCACAAAACCAUGUACUCAAUUCAUCCGGGUAGCACUAAAAUGUAUAGGGACCUGAAACCCUACUACUGGUGGCCGACGAUGAAGCUUGAUGUUGCAAAGUAUGUGGCCGAGUGUGUGACUUGUGCGAGAGUCAAGACACAACAUCAGAAACCUUACGGGAGUUUAGAACCAUUGCCUGUGCCUAUGGGUAAGUGGGAAGACAUUGCUAUGGAUUUUGUCACUAAACUGCCCAGAACAAAGAAUGGUCACGACAUGAUUUGGGUGGUCGUUGAUCGAUUCACUAAGAGUGCGCAUUUCAUAGCGGCCAGGGAGAAAUGGUCUAUGGAAAAGCUUGCGAAUUCUUACGUGAAGGAAAUUGUGAGGCUUCACGGUGUUCCGUUAACGAUUGUAUCGGAUCGUGAUAGCCGUUUCACCUCAAGGUUUUGGAAAAGUCUACAAGAGGAAAUGGGUACCAAGUUAUGUUUAAGCACAGCUUACCAUCCGCAGACUGAUGGUCAGAGUGAAAGAACAAUACAAACACUUGAAGAUAUGCUGAGAGCAUGUACCUUGGAAUUCCUAGGUAAUUGGGAUGAACAUUUACCGUUGGUAGAAUUUUCCUAUAAUAAUAGUUUUCACUCGAGCAUUAAGAUGGCACCUUAUCAAGCUUUGUAUGGACAGAAGUGUCGUACGCCGUCUUGUUGGCUUGAGGCUGGGGAAAAGCAGUUUAUGGGACCGGAGAUGGUUCAUCAAACUGCUGAAAAGUUGAAAAUAAUUAGGGAAAGAAUGUUAGCAGCUCAAGAUCGUCAAAAGAGCUAUGCUGACAAGAAGCGAAGACCGAUGACUUUUGAGGUUGGAGAUUCGGUUUUGCUUAAAGUCUCGCCGUGGAAGGGACUUAUAAGAUUUGGUAAAAGGGGAAAGUUGAGUCCAAGGUUUAUUGGACCGUUUAAAGUCCUUCAGAGGAUUGGGAAUCAAGCUUACAAGCUCGAAUUACCCGAAGAACUGAAUGGAAUUCACAACACCUUUCAUGUGUGUUAUUUGAGGAAGUUCACGGGAGAAGUUCCCGAUAUAAUUCCAAUUUCUGAAUUGAGAAUUGAUGAGAACAAAAGGUUGAUUGAAGAACCAGAGGCAAUUGUUGACCGAAAGACUAAGAAGUUGCGACGCAAAAUGGUUGGGUUAGUGCUUGUCCGAUGGAAACACACGAAUGGGCCGAAUCUCACCUGGGAGACGGAGAGUGACAUGUUGAGUCGCUAUCCGCAUUUGUUUGUUGAUGUGUGAUUCCGGGGACGGAAUCAUUCUAAGGUGGAGAGAAUUGUAACGCCUGUGUUUCCGGGCUUGCCAUUUUUAGCAAUGUAAUAGUCUAGGUUAACCUUUGUAACCCGUUUUGAAAUAAUAAGAUUGUAUUAUUUGAGUAUUAUGUGUUUUGUGCUUAAUUGCUUAAUUAUGUGGUUUGAUUAAUUAAGAAUAAAAAUAAGCGUCAAAAUUUAAGUGUAAAAUAAACUUAAUAUCUUUGGUUAAUGUUGUAGUAGUUGAAACGAGGUUUCCGAAUAUAUAUAGAACGCCCAAAUCUGACUUCGUAUGAGGAAGUUAUGAUUUAUCGAAGUUCCGGCUUAGCGAUAUACAGCCUGUUUUACUCGAUUUGAGAUCGAGCGGUUGUUAGCCGAAGCAAUCUAAAUGAGAAUCGAAGAUCUCAUUGUUGGUAUUGAAACGAUAAAAAGUUAGGCGAGAACGGACGUCAAACGAAGAAGUUAUGAAUUUAUAACGAAAGUUUCUGUCCCGGCCUAUUAAAAAUAAUUAAUAAAAAUAAAGUCAAAAUUAGCCGACGGAGUCUAAACGAAAGUCGUAGAGCGUGGUCUCACCUUCGCGUGGAUAUAAAGAACGUCGAAAACGGAGUUCGUAUGAAGAAGUUAUGAAUUUCCGAAGUUUAUUAAUCAUUUUGUAUUUAUUUUUAAUUCAAAAUUCGGAAGCAUUAUCCGAAGGAGUCACCGAUCUGAUCCGAGGUACGCCCCGCGUACUCGAGUACGCCCCGCGUACUCCGAGGGAUGUCGACACUCGCACUCGAGCACUUCGGAUACGUAAGCAAUGACGUUUUGGGCAGUACGCCCCGCGUAACGCAGUACGCCCCGCGUACUCCGAGGCUCCAGCCUCCUAUAAAUAGGAUGCGAGGGUUCCGGGUAUUUUUGCCAAUUCCCUCUCGUUUUCGUGUCGAAGCUCUGUGCAAAAACCCCCGAAGCUACCCCGAAGUCCCGGUAUCAUACUCUAGCCCCGAGGCAAGUCCCGAGAUCCUGAAGAUCCCGAAAAGUGCGGUUCCCGAGUCGAAGCUCUGCCCGCGAGAAGUUCGAUUUUCGAGAAGAUCUUCCAGAUCUGCUGUGGAUUACUACUUCUAUAAGCCGUAGUGCUGUCCGAUCAUCUUCUGAUCAAGUGAGUGUGUAGUUAUUUCUUCUAAUACAAUAAUACGAAGUAUUUUAUAUAAAAAUACGUGCUAUGUGUAUAUAUUUGGUUGUGUUAUGUGUGAAUGAGUAUUCACUCUCUUCUAUCUUAUAGAUCUGCUUAUUUCUUUAUGAGAUAUGUGUUAUGUGUGUGUGUGCCUCAUCUGUUAUGUGAUAUAUGUGUUGAUUAAAGCAUGCUAUACAGGUUUUCUUUAAACUAUGUAUACAAAUGUAUAUUUUUAUCUACUAAUAUGUUGGGUAGAACAUGGGUAGACAGUUGGUGUGUAAUAAACAGAUGAGAGGCCUCGUUGUUGUUUGAUUGAGUCAUCUAGCGGAGUUUAGAUGACGACCACUGGCUAUUCUAGACAGUCUUGUGGAAACAUUAGCAGGUUCGCCACCUGUAGGUGUUAAUGAACUUGGGUGUUCAUUCGCUGUACUCCAUCCCCCUCAUGGUUGCCUUAUUUGACUUAUAUUGCUGAGGUACCCCCGAAGCAUGUGUUGUCGCCCCGAUGAAAUAUUCUUAGACUAGGUCCCUUAUGUUAGUUGUUUUAGGGACAUUAAAGUGAGAAUAAUGGGAAUGGGUAAUUGGGUUAUUGUUGGUUGGUGAAAAUUAAAUAUGAUAUUUAUUGUGGGUUGAAAACCCUAUAUGCUCACCAGGCUCCCAAGCCUGACCCACUCAGUUUUAAAUUGUAUUACAGGUAGUGGCGGAAGAGCAUGAGAUGGAUGAACCAUCAAGUUGUUUUGUUUACAAGUCUGCAUAUGUUUAUAUUUGUUAUAUGACUUGUAAUGUAUUCGUUUAUGCUUAUUGGUCUGAAUCGGAACAUGACACCCCGAGUUUUGAUUAUAAUGAAAAUACAUUUCUUUUAUGAAAUGCUUCGGUAAACAAUGUUUUAUCAUGUUUUGUUUUUGGGAACAAAUUCCGCAACUCUUUCAAAUCAAAAGGAUUUACUCUGAAAAUAUUUAAAAGCAUAAAUGAAAAUCGGUCUUUUCUGGCCGAGAUUUUGGGGAUGUC